UGGGUAGUGUGCUCAACCUGACACACCUGCAGUUUAGGGGUUACGCUGGGUGUGAAAGACCCAUGGAAUAGAGCCUGGAUCUUACCACAGAGUGCAGUGUGCUGGGUGGAGUCAUUUCAGAGCAUGUCAUUUGCACCUAUUAAGGAGACUAACACUUCAAAAACUAAGAACACUCACCCCAGGAGGUUCCACAAAUUUAAUGUGAAUCAGGAGAUGCCACCUGAAUGUCCUGAUGCUACCAUGGGCACUAGACUGCUCUGCUGGGUGGUCCUUUGUCUUCUGGGAGCAGAUCCAGUGGAUUCUGGAGUCACCCAAACUCCAAAACAUCUGAUCAAAGUCAAAGGACAGCAAGUGACACUGAGAUGCACUCCUAUGUCUGGACACCUCUCUGUGACUUGGUACCAGCAGACCCUGGGUCAGGGGCCCCAGUUCCUCUUUGAAUAUUACAAUGGGGAGCAGAGAGAUAGAGGAAAAGUCUCUGAUCGAUUCUCAGCACAACAGUUCAACAACUACAACUCUGAACUCCAUCUGAAGUCCUUGGAGCUGGGGGAUUCAGCACUGUUUCUGUGUGCCAGCAGCAUGGCACAGCCUGGCAUGAUCAUCAGCUUUCUGCACAAAAAUAUUCCUGCCCCUGUUCAGGAGGGCAAGGCUGCCAGACUUGCCCAUGCCCUGGGAAGGUGA